rnacentral:rRNA from 1 species
ACGCUCGACACCUGAGGCAGCAGUGGGGAAUAUUGCACAAUGGAGGAAACUCUGAUGCAGCGAUGCCGCGUGAGGGAAGAAGGUUUUCGGAUUGUAAACCUCUGUCUUUGGGGACGAUAAUGACGGUACCCAAGGAGGAAGCUCCGGCUAACUACGUGCCGGCAGCCGCGGUAAUCUGAGCGGGCUGGCAAGGC